GACGAACGCUGGCGGCGUGCUUAACACAUGCAAGUCGAGCGGUAAGGCCCUUUCGGGGGUACACGAGCGGCGAACGGGUGAGUAACACGUGGGAACGUGCCCAAAGGUACGGAACAACUCCGGGAAACUGGAGCUAAUACCGUAUGUGCCCGAAAGGGGAAAGAUUUAUCGCCUUUGGAUCGGCCCGCGUCUGAUUAGCUAGUUGGUGAGGUAAUGGCUCACCAAGGCGACGAUCAGUAGCUGGUCUGAGAGGAUGAUCAGCCACACUGGGACUGAGACACGGCCCAGACUCCUACGGGAGGCAGCAGUGGGGAAUAUUGGACAAUGGGCGCAAGCCUGAUCCAGCCAUGCCGCGUGAGUGAUGAAGGCCCUAGGGUUGUAAAGCUC
rnacentral:rRNA from 1 species